ensembl:miRNA mir9-6 microRNA 9-6
GGAGGUAGUUGCUAUCUUUGGUUAUCUAGCUGUAUGAGUGUUUAUCUGCCUUCAUAAAGCUAGAUAACCGAAAGUAGAAAUGUCCUCC